rnacentral:rRNA from 1 species
UACGGAGGGGGCGAGCGCUAUUCGGAAUUAUUGGGCGUCAAGGGCGCGUAGGCGGCCUGACAAGUCAAAGGUGAAAUCCCUCGGCUCAACUGAGGAACUGCCUUUGAAACUGUCAGGCUUGAGGCCGGGAGGGGGUAGCGGAAUUCCCAGUGUAGCGGUGAAAUGCGUAGAUAUUGGGAGGAACACCAGUGGCGAAGGCGGCUACCUGGACCGGUACUGACGCUGAUGCGCGAAAGCGUGGGUAGCAAACAGA